rnacentral:lncRNA from 1 species
GGGGAAUGGUGUGUAGUUCCUUAUCUUCUAGCCUCUUUUGGGCAUCUUUUCCUCUGGGACUCUUUUGACUACCCCGAACUCCUCCCCUCUUCAGACUGCGUUAAAAUUCCCUCGUGUAUAUUUCCCUAGCACCCUGUGCUUAUCCUUGUAACAUUCCUCAUCACACUGAAUUAUAAUUGUCUGUUAACUUUAUCUCCUCCGCUAGAGUGUAAACGUGUUAGGAGGGUACUAAAAUAUCAUCUCCUGUGGUGUAUCCCAGGAUUAACAAAGUGUCUCACACAGUUAUUUAGUCUUACCUCUUUGGGGGGAAGGGAAGGAGAGGAGGGAGCUUGCAGGUGAGACCUGACAGCGUUUUUACCUGGGCGCCUGAAUGGAAGAAUGGAAGUAUUCAUUGCUAUUCAUUGUUAGCUAAUACUUAGUUGUCUGGGAGAGAAGAGAGUUUGGUUUGUUUUGGUUUUCUAGAAAGUUGUAUUUUUUGGCCUAUUGUACUAGUAAAAUACAGUGCCUUAAUAUCAAGUGCCUUGCAUUUAUCAAGAAACUGAAAGAGCUAGACACCCCAUAUAAUAUCACCAUAGGGAGAAAACACCGAGGCAACUUUAAAAACAUAGAUCAGCUAGCCAUUUUUACUUUGACCCUUUUGAAAAGCAUAGCCGAUAGAGAACUGAUUUUUUUCAUACCAGUUUUGUGUAUUUUACUAAAUACAUGUCCCAAUGUAGAUGGACAUCAAGGACACUGCCGUGAAAGGUGUGGCCCAUCAAAACUAACGCUGCAUUCUCAUGGAGUUGAGUUUCAGAUGUCAGAAAUCUGAGAUUCAUUAGCAUCAGAGUUGAACAGAUAGGGAUCAGGGCUGGGGAACAAAAGCUGGAAGUAAAAUUAAACAUAAUUAAAGACUUAAAAAGAAGUUUGAAUUAAAAAGUACAUGCAACUUGAGGUAAAUUAUGCCUUCUGCCUAAGCACAGAUGAAAAGACAUAUUAAUUAGUUUUUUGGAGCUUUUUCCUCUCUGAAAAUCUAUUGUCUUGCUAAGCGAUAUUGGGAUAAUAUGGUUUCCAGUUAUUGAAGAUCCCAUAAAGAAUUGUUUUAGUGCUUGUAGAUUUUUCUUAGUUGAAAUAAGGUUAUGCUUGGACUCGAUGGCCUUCCCCUUACAUGAUGGUGCUUUCAGUGUGUUCUUGGAAACUCUAUCUAGCUUCUUUGCUCUGAUUUUCGUGUGCUUCUGGAAUGAAGAGGAAAUGGGGGAGGGAAAGGGAGAGAGAAACAAAUGUAAGUUGGACCCAGAUCAGUGAGAUAGUAUCAGUUGAGGCCAAAAUGCAUUUGGCAGAUCCUCUUCUCAUGUUCCCAGGCUAGGGAUCUAAUCUGAGCUGUUGUUGCUGGCCUAUGCCACAGCCACAGCAACGCCAGAUCCAAGCCGUGUCUGUGAUCUACACCACAGCUCACGGCAACACCGGAUCUUUAACCCACUGAGCAAGGCCAGGGAUCACACCUGCAACCUCUUGGUUCCUAGUCGGAUUUGUUUCCGAUGAGCCACGAUGGGAACUCCAGUAGCUGCUUUUUAAGCACAGAAAUGAAAGUGUGGAAGGCAGAGAUGGUGGAAGGUGUAUUAUCUUUAGAGUCAUUUCAGUAUGAGUUUGAAUCCUCAUUUUGCCACAUUUUGUACAACUUCAGCACAUUAAUCGGGCUUGCUUUCCUUGUAUGUAAAAAGGGCAUGUUAAUUUCUAGAUCUUUGUUAAGAUAGUAAGUGGAUUUAACGGCACCUCAAAGGCACUCAAUAAAUAGUAGCUGUUUAAAAAGGGUCUUAUUUACUGGAAAAAAGCGGGGGGGAGCUCAGUAAUUCUUAGGGACAAAUAGUAAAUUUCUUAUCAAACAUUCUUGUUAAUGUCAGCUAGGCAUUUUAUUCUCACGAUGUUCAAUUUAGGUAUGAAUAGUAGCCCUUUCCCUGGUGUCUGUAUGUAUAUAUGACACCCAAAGAUGGAAAAAUCGGGAGUGGGGGGGCACUUAAACUUGUAUAGAUAAAGCAGUCCAGUAGCAGGUGGUCAUAAGUAUUUAAUGAAGCAUUAUGAAUAUUGAAUGGAAGGUUAAGGGAUCCCAUAUUUUAUUUCUCAUGGUAUGUAGGUCACUGCUGAAAACCGAGAAUUAGCUUUGAAAAAAAAUUUCAAAAGAAAUACAUGCUUAUCUCCUAUGUAUCUCGUAUGUAAUUACAUAUGAAAUAUAUUUCAUGUGCCUUACAUCAAUAGAUAUUGAUACAAAGUUGUCUCUCAGUCCCUUGGUAUCGAGGAGAGAUGGCUUCCAAGUCUUCCACAGAGAGCACAAUAGGUGGGUGCUCAACUCCCUGAUAUAAAAUGGUGUAGUAUUUGCAGGCAACAUCCUCCUCUGUGCUUUAAAUCAUCUCAAGAUUACUUAAUACAACAUAAAUGUAAUAGUAGAAGUGGUUGUAAAUACAAUGUAAAGACUAUGUCAAUGGUUGUUGAGCUUGCAGCAAAUUCAAUGUUUGCCUUUUGGAACUUGCUGGAAUUUUUCUCUGAAAAUUUUUGAUAGGUAGAUAGUUGAAUCUGCAAAUUUGGAACCAGUGCAUACAGGCAGCCCACUGUAUAUCCAAAGUUAGGUAACCUUCCAAAAAAUCAUUCCCAUUACUUAUAAAAUAUUUUAUUUGAAGGAGUUCCCCUUGUGGUUCUAUGGUAACAAACCUGACUAGUAUCCAUGAGGGUGCAGGUUUGAUCCCUGGCCUUGCUCAGUGGGUUAAGGACCCAGUGUUGUGAUGAGCUUCAGUGUAGGUCUCACACGUGGCUCGGAUCUGGCGUUGCUGUGGCUGUAAUGUAGGCUGGCAGCUGCCAGCUCCGAUCAACCCCUAGCUUGGAAAUUUCCAUAUGCCUCGGUGCAGCCCUGAAGAGACCAAAAAAAAAAAA